rnacentral:lncRNA from 1 species
UACAUUUUAAAUACAGAUUUAUUGAGUGGAAUUUGUAGUUUUAUUACAUGAUAUAAUAAAAUGAGUUAUUGGUAUGAUCCUGAAAUUAAUACUCUAAUUUGGUUCGUCAUCUGAUUGGCAUCAGGGCUUAUGAGUAUCUGCUACUGUGGUUCUUCUACAGGAUGCUGAUAACGUGCCGUGAAUAUGGGGGGGUCUAGGGUCAGUGUAGUUGGGAACCACUGGGUUACACGGGCCUUAUUACUGCAGAGCUGACACAGGACACAAUGGCCGUGUGCGCUGCGAGUCGUUCAUUUGAGGGGAGAGGGGGCAACAGACAACAUGGAAGCCUAUCUGCCCGCAGAACUGCUUUCUGCAGAGCAUCGCACAGCUCCACGUUCCACGGGUCACACUUGAGCCAACACUGACCUGCUGGCUUGCUUGUUUUUAAAUUCAAAUAAUAAUCUCAGUUUUAAGGGUGGGAAUCAGUUUACUGGCCUUGUGACACAAUCAGGCAUUCGGGGGAAAUAUCACAAGGUCAGCACUGGUGGGGACCACACUUAACAAAAGAGCGGUUGUAUCAGAUUAUAUCAGAAACACCUGAGGAACUUCAAAAGCUACCACCCUGCCAGGAUGUUCUAAGGGGGUUAGGCAUGUGCCCAAGAAAAAGACUCCCAGUUGGUUCUGAAACGCAGCCUCUGAUCUAGAAAUCCAGUGACCAUUUGGGCAUCAGUCAAGAGUAUGCAAUUCUUAAAUCCUUACUACUGUUUUUUUUCCUUCAACAAGUCUUGACCAAAUGCCUACUCUGUUCCAUGCUCUAUACCUGCAAGGGCUUGACUUCAGGCUAACGUGAAACAAGGAAAUUCUCAGUUUUUCUUGUUUCAGC